GCCAGGGUGGCUCAGUGAUUGAGCAUCAACCUAUAAACCAGAAGUUCCCAGGUUCGAUUCCUGGUCAGGGCA
rfam:Myotis lucifugus cont2.9638, whole genome shotgun sequence.